rnacentral:rRNA from 1 species
UACGGGGGGGAGCAAGCGUUGUUCGGAUUUACUGGGCGUAAAGGGCGCGUAGGCGGCGUGACAAGUCACUUGUGAAAUCUCCGGGCUUAACUCGGAACGGUCAAGUGAUACUGUCGUGCUAGAGUACAGAAGGGGCAACUGGAAUUCUCGGUGUAGCGGUGAAAUGCGUAGAUAUCGAGAGGAACACCUGCGGCGAAGGCGGGUUGCUGGGCUGAUACUGACGCUGAGGCGCGAAAGCCAGGGGAGCGAACGGG